GACGAACGCUGGCGGCGUGCUUAACACAUGCAAGUCGAACGGAAAGGCCCUGCUUUUGUGGGGUGCUCGAGUGGCGAACGGGUGAGUAACACGUGAGUAACCUGCCCUUGACUUUGGGAUAACUUCAAGAAACUGGGGCUAAUACCGGAUAGGAGCUCCUGCUGCAUGGUGGGGGUUGGAAAGUUUCGGCGGUUGGGGAUGGACUCGCGGCUUAUCAGCUUGUUGGUGGGGUAGUGGCUUACCAAGGCUUUGACGGGUAGCCGGCCUGAGAGGGUGACCGGCCACAUUGGGACUGAGAUACGGCCCAGACUCCUACGGGAGGCAGCAGUGGGGAAUAUUGCACAAUGGGCGGAAGCCUGAUGCAGCAACGCCGCGUGCGGGAUGACGGCCUUCGGGUUGUAAACCGCUUUCGCCUGUGACGAAGCGUGAGUGACGGUAAUGGGUAAAGAAGCACCGGCUAACUACGUGCCAGCAGCCGCGGUGAUACGUAGGGUGCGAGCGUUGUCCGGAUUUAUUGGGCGUAAAGGGCUCGUAGGUGGUUGAUCGCGUCGGAAGUGUAAUCUUGGGGCAUAACCCUGAGCGUGCUUUCGAUACGGGUUGACUUGAGGAAGGUAGGGGAGAAUGGAAUUCCUGGUGGAGCGGUGGAAUGCGCAGAUAUCAGGAGGAACACCAGUGGCGAAGGCGGUUCUCUGGGCCUUUCCUGACGCUGAGGAGCGAAAGCGUGGGGAGCGAACAGGCUUAGAUACCCUGGUAGUCCACGCUGUAAACGGUGGGUACUAGGUGUGGGGUCCAUUCCACGGGCUCCGUGCCGUAGCUAACGCUUUAAGUACCCCGCCUGGGGAGUACGGCCGCAAGGCUAAAACUCAAAGGAAUUGACGGGGCCCCGCACAAGCGGCGGAGCAUGCGGAUUAAUUCGAUGCAACGCGUAGAACCUUACCUGGGUUUGACAUGGAUCGGGAGUGCUCAGAGAUGGGUGUGCCUCUUUUGGGGUCGGUUCACAGGUGGUGCAUGGCUGUCGUCAGCUCGUGUCGUGAGAUGUUGGGUUAAGUCCCGCAACGAGCGCAACCCUUGUUCACUGUUGCCAGCACGUUAUGGUGGGGACUCAGUGGAGACCGCCGGGGUCAACUCGGAGGAAGGUGGGGAUGACGUCAAGUCAUCAUGCCCCUUAUGUCCAGGGCUUCACGCAUGCUACAAUGGCCGGUACAGAGAGUGGCGAGCCUGUGAGGGUGAGCGAAUCUCGGAAAGUCGGUCUCAGUUCGGAUUGGGGUCUGCAACUCGACCUCAUGAAGUCGGAGUCGCUAGUAAUCGCAGAUCAGCAACGCUGCGGUGAAUACGUUCCCGGGGCU
rnacentral:rRNA from 1 species